UAAUAAUAAUAAUAAUAAUAAUAAUGCAGUACUGAGUCCCGACAACAAUAGUCUUCUGAUGUCAGUAUGUCAGUUAGCCUAUUCUUUCUUCUCCUGAAGGUCCGUGUGAACUGUCGUUUGCAGGGAAGCUGGUCAGAACUGAGAGCAGGGUGAAUACAGCUAAAUACAUAGAAGUCCUCCCUGCUCCCGAGGAUCACGCAUCCUCAGACCGGGACGAUGGUUCACUUUUUAACUUGGCAUUGACCAGGGACACACCUCCAGCUUGUCAUUUAGUGGCCCAGCCAAAGCCCAAACUUGAACCACGUGGAACAUGUAUGGACAGACCUGAAGAUGGCAGCUUACAGACUUUUCUCUUUCAGUCUAAGAGAGCUUGAGAAGAUCUGCCAGGAAGAAUGGAAUAAACUGCCUAAAUCCAGCUGUUCUGAGGAGCCAUGCAAGUGUAAUGGAUUUUGACUGAGAGAACAUGACAUAACAGGGAAAAAUGAAACGGAGAAUGAAUGCAAAGAGAUGAUCAUUUAUGUGGAAUCAACAAAAACAAUUCAUUUUGCCAGUGCUACUGACUUCAAGGAUUUUCUGCAUAUGUGCAGUAUGUUUACCAUCUUAAAUGCUUGUGUGAUGCUGGACCAGAUGAACUAAUCAAUCAGAGACACAAUGA